GACGUGCGUAGCUUCCAUCGCUGCAUGUUAGACGAGAGGCCAGUACAACAACUGGACGACACGUUUGACUGUGGGAUGUUCGUCAUCAAAUUCAUGCAGCAACCUGAUUUAAGCCCCGGUCCACACAAGUUCGCUCCCUCUGUGCGUCAUAAGUUGUUGGUUGACAUCGUUAUGGAUGUCAAUAAUGCAAAGAUCGCAGAGUACCGGGAGUGCCUUCAUAUGAGCAAUGCCACAAGCUAGGCCAGUGAUGGGAAU